AUUGAACGCUGGCGGCAAGCCUAACACAUGCAAGUCGAACGAGUGGCGGACGGGUGCGUAAUGUCUGGGAAACUGCCUGAUGGAGGGGGAUAACUACUGGAAACGGUAGCUAAUACCGCAUACCAUCGGAUGUGCCCAGAUGGGAUUAGCUAGUAGGUGGGGUAAAGGCUCACCUAGGCGACGAUCCCUAGCUGGUCUGAGAGGAUGAACAGCCACACGGGAACUGUGCCACGGUCCAGACGCCUACGGGAGGCAGCAGUGGGGAAUAUUGCAAAAUGGGCGCAAACCUGAUACAGCCAGGCCGCGUGUAUGAAGAAGGCCUUCGGGUUGUAAAGUACUUUCAGCGGGGAGGCGUUACCCGCAGAAGAAGCACCGGCUAACUCCGUGCCAGCCGCCGCGGUAAUAC
rnacentral:rRNA from 1 species